UAAAUUGCGUUUCAGAUCGAUUUGAGCUC
rnacentral:sRNA from 1 species